UACGGAGGGUGCAAACGUUGCUCGGAAUCAUUGGGCGUAAAGCGCACGUAGGCGGUCUCGUAAGUCGGGUGUGAAAGCCCUGGGCUCAACCCAGGAAGUGCACUCGAAACUGCAAGACUAGAAUAUGGAAGAGGGUCGCGGAAUUCCCGGUGUAGAGGUGAAAUUCGUAGAUAUCGGGAGGAACACCAGUGGCGAAGGCGGCGACCUGGGCCAAUAUUGACGCUGAGGUGCGAAAGCGUGGGGAGCAAACAGG
rnacentral:rRNA from 1 species